rnacentral:rRNA from 1 species
GACGAACGCUGGCGGCGUGCUUAACACAUGCAAGUCGAACGAAGUGGCGAACGGGUGAGUAACGCGUCAUCAACCUGCCCUUCAGAGGGGGACAACAGUUGGAAACGACUGCUAAUACCUCAUACUGACGUAGGGGAUUUCGUCUGAUUAGCUAGUUGGAGGGGUAACGGCCCACCAAGGCGAUGAUCAGUAGCCGGUAUGAGAGGAGGAACGGCCACAUUGGGACUGAGACACGGACCAGACUCCGACGGGAGGCAGCAGUGGGGAAUCUUCCGAAAUGGACGAAAGGCUGACGGAGCAACGCCGCGUGAGUGAUGACGGCCUUCGGGUGGGAAAGCUCUGUUAAUCGGGACGCGGUACCGGAAUAGAAAGCCACGGCUAACUACGUGCCAGCAGCCGCGGUAAUUC